rnacentral:rRNA from 1 species
AGUGAACGCUGGCGGUAGGCCUAACACAUGCGAGUCGAACGGCAGCACAGUAAUAGCUUGCUCUUACGGGUGGCGAGUGGCGGGCGGGUGAGGAAUACAUCGGAAUCUACUUUUUCGUGGGGGAUAACGUAUGGAAACUUAAGCUAAUACCGCAUACGACCUACGGGUGAAGGCAGGGGAUCUUCGGCCCUUGGGGGAUAGCAUGAGCCGCGGUCGGAUUAGCUAGUUGGCCGGGUAAAGGCCCACCACGGCGACGAUCCGUAGCUGGUGUGAGAGGAUGAUCAGCCACACUGGAACUGAGACACGGUCCAGACUCCUACGGGAGGCAGCAGUGGGGAAUAUUGGACAAUGGGCGCAAGCCUGAACCAGCCAUACCGCGUGGGUGAAGAAGGCCUUCGGGUUGUAAAGCCCUUUUGUUGGGAAAGAAAAGCAGCAGGUUAAUACCCCGCUGUUCUGACGGUACCCAAAGAAUAAGCACCGGCUAACUUCGUG